rnacentral:rRNA from 1 species
GGAGUUAGCCGGUGCUUCUUCUGCGAGUAACGUCACAGAUGUAAGGUAUUAACUUACACCCUUUCCUCCUCGCUGAAAGUGCUUUACAACCCGAAGGCCUUCUUCACACACGCGGCAUGGCUGCAUCAGGGUUUCCCCCAUUGUGCAAUAUUCCCCACUGCUGCCUCCCGUAGGAGUCUGGGCCGUGUCUCAGUCCCAGUGUGGCUGAUCAUCCUCUCAGACCAGCUAGGGAUCGUCGCCUAGGUGAGCCUUUACCUCACCUACUAGCUAAUCCCACCUGGGCUUAUCCAUCAGCGCAAGGCCCGAAGGUCCCCUGCUUUCCCCCGUAGGGCGUAUGCGGUAUUAGCAGUCGUUUCCAACUGUUAUCCCCCACAAAUGGGCAAAUUCCCAGGCAUUACUCACCCGUCCGCCGCUCGUCAUCUUCAAAGCAAGCUUUUGAAAUGUUACCGCUCGACUUGCAUGUGUUAGGCCUGCCGCCAGCGUUCAAUCUGACCAGAUCAAUUCUGA